CCGCCGCGUAAGCGGCAAGAGCUGACAGCACAAUGCUACUGACACUAUCGCUGUGUGAGGCGAUUGGACAGGCACAGUGCAGAGGGGCCGGCAUUAGGCUGGUUGACCCACUCCCUCUUCUUCCUCCGCCCCUCCAGGCAAACUCCUCUCUUUGUUGUCUAAUGCAGAACAAUAAAGACUCUAGACACUGGUUCGUAUGGAUCAACCUUGCACACAUCACUUUCCCCCCAUUUCCCUUUCCUGUGUGUUAAUUAUUUUGUUAAAGAGACCGACUUUAUUUUUAAUCGACUGUACAAAAGGCCGGCCCGGAGGUCUAUGAACCUAAUGGACCAUCUUCCACACACCCACCUAAAAAGGAACCCGCUUUUUCCCCCCCCCCUUCGGGUCAUAAAUCAUUAAGUUAAAGGUGCUUCUUGGAGGGGGUGGGUUAUUGUACAGCAGCCAGUUGUGUGCAUUGCAUUGGUUGAUGAAACGUUUCCCUGGGCAGAAAGCAGCCACUGAGUGAGUUUCAUACUCAUCAAUGGCAGAGUGACUCAGGGCAAGGGGGUGUGAUAGCAGAAUCUGAAAGCCAGCCAGUAAGGAGAACAAUGCAAUCGUCCUUUACACCGUGCGCUGGCUGCUAAACGGGUAGUAAUCACACAACGCACUCAUACUGCAAUGCACAACAACAGAGGAAAGAGCCAAGAGUCGAUUUCACACCGGAGGGGAAAUACAUUGCAUUGCGCUCCUCCAAGCUAGUUAAUAGGAACAGCCCCGGAGCAGCAACAUGUCACGGCAGAAAACUCCGAUUGCAACAGAGCGGCAGCCCAAAUUCCCAGGGUGUGUGGAACCCUAGGCUGGAACAGAAGCCACUGAGGAGUUUUGGAGUUAGACUGAGUAUUAAGGGUAGAUUCUAGCACACAUUCACUUGAGCUUUGUGCAAUCUAGAAGAGAUGAAUCUCACCCAGAAAGAAAAUCCUCUGACUUCAGGAAAUACUUGGCCAGCUUUUAUAAGGACACUGUUUCUUCUCUGAACAGAUCACACUGCUACAUUUACUGUGGGGAUUAAUAUUCAUUUCAGCAUGAGUGAUAAACCAACAUAAUUAGGAGAAUAAACUGACUGCUAGAAGAUGUCAACUCUGCAUUCUUUUCCUGAUUAUGAAAUACAGAAUAAAAAUGUGUUUUUAAAGGGCAUUUCUUUGUACCAACAAAUGAAGGAGAAAGUUUCAUUUCUACUUCCUGAAAUUAGGUUCAGAAUCAUACAAGUUUUGAUUUUCUUCCUUUAUGCUGAAAUGCAGGUUUUCCAAGCAUUAUGGAAUAAGUGUUACUAUGGCACCCUGGGUGGAUUCAAGUCUUGCAUAGCCGACUGUGUGUUGCAAGCUAUGAUCACUACAGAUUCCAAUGCUAAGAAGUCUCAUAACCAUCUGAAGAUACAGUCGAAUCCACUUUAUUUUCUUCAGCUAGAGAUGAAAGAAAUGGGAAGAUUUAAACAAAAGCCAUACUUAUGAAAAAAGAAGAGAGAGGCAGAACAAAGAUCUACAUCCAGACAAAAAAUUCUCAGCAUCAUAUUCCAGUUCUGGCAGCAUCCUGAUGGGGACAUCACUGGGUCAACCCAUCUUCUCGUUUACAUGCAGGGAUCAGAUCAAACUGACUUUUCUGACCAUAAUCCCACUCCAAGUCUAGUCCUAGAAGAACAUCUCCUUUUUAAAAUACUGCAGUUAAUUACUGCAAUGCUGCUUGUUGACAAGUUGUUUCUGUUACAGGAAUAAUGCCCUGCCUGGUUCAGAUUUUACUUUCUGUACUUCGUAGAAAUUUAGAUGAAGUCACCAUCACUCUCUCCCAGGAAUAUCAUUAAUCCAGAUAGGGAGCCCUGCAAACUCAGCCUGGGAAUCAAGUGUCCAAUGAAGUUAUUUCCUUAUUGCACAUCAUACCAGUUAAAAGUUCUGCAGGCCCUAUUCUACACAUGUGCAACUCGGUUAUCUUCACAUCAUGCUCUCAGUGUUACUUGUACAACUUCAUUGCUUCCAAUAGUUUUCACAGAUGUAAGUGAUUGGAAUUCAGUAAACUUUCUGAUGCACAUGGAAUCUCUCUUUUUCUGCUAUGUCAGUUGUAAACAGCAGUAAAAAACAUUUUACUCACUAAAGCAAACAAAUAUGACUCUGAACACACAGAGUAAGGGCUGCUGAACACACAGGGCUGCUGAGUAAGAAGGUGCCAUUUUUACAUAGUAACUUUUCCAAGUAGAAUUGCACUUUAAACAUUUUGUGUCUCUUCUCUCUAUGAGAAAUCCAUAAAACACACAAAUGAAAGACCGAUUCAGUGAAGGCAGAAAAUGCUAGGGUGUUUUUCACUGUCCUGAGGCCAAAUGCCAGGGCCCUUCUGGAUCAUGCAGAAAGUCUAGUCACAGUAUCUUAUUCAAGAGAAAAGCCAUCUGUCAACAAACUAGUCACUGGACUGAUUCAGAAACAACUGAAAAUAAAAAGCCAAUACAAACAUGCAGAUGAGCCUUCAGUCAGAUGCCAGUGAUAGAAAACACGAAUCCCCUCCGCCCAGCAUGGCAUUUGGAUCCAGCCAUUUCUGUCUAGGGGGGAAGCAGAGCAGUGACAAUUCAAAAUGAUCUUCCAACGAUGACCUUUUAAAUCAAUCAAUAUGAUCAUGGAGAGAUAAGCCAAAGUCCUAUAUUCAAAUACCUCCUGCAUCCACCAGCAGCAAAGCCAAGUGUGAGCGGAUGUGCUAUCACAUGCCAUUUAGAACUGGAGGAAGCUCUACCCUUUUUUAAUUUAAACCCUGGCUGAUACAGGACAAAUUGAUGUUUAGUCCCGGUCUGACAGCAGCUAAUUAGAGUCCUAUUGUUCUAUGGAUUUUCUCUUCUGAGUGGCUAACCCUCAGACUGAUCACUUUGUCCAGUGCUAGCCAGAAGUUGGGACCACCAGUUUCUUCACUCGUCCCCUCCCUUAUUCCCAUCUUUCCCCAACGGGAACCUCUCUCUCUCUCUCUCUCACUCACACAUACACACACACUUCUACCAACUUCCUCUACAGAAAAGGAAAAUUAACUUUAUUGCCACUACUCCAGUCCCUAGUGCUUUGACCAGAGCAGUGAAGGUUACUAUGGACGAUCACAUGUUUUGCAUGUGUGUAGCUUCAACACAGACCCCUGGCUUAAGAUGCACUCCAGCCUCCACUUGACAAAGGUAAUCAUAGAAACGUAGGAUGGGCAGGGACCCCAAUAGGUCAUCUAGUUCAGUCCCCUGCACUGAGACAGGACUAUGUAUUAUCUAGACCAUCCCUGACAUGGGUUUGUCGAACCCGUUCUUAAAAACCUCCUCCAGUGAUGGAGAUUCCACAAACUCCCUAGGUAAUUUGUUCCAAUGCUUAAUUGUCCUUAUAGUUAGGAAAUUUUUCCUAACGUCUAAUGUAAAUCUCCCUUGCUGCAAUUUAAGUCCAUGGUGAUGAUUUUUUAUUUGUAUUACAGUAGCAGGUAAAGGCUCCAACUGAGAUUAGGGCUUCAUGGUGCUGGCAUGGAACAAAUACACCGGGAGAGACACUCCCUGCCUCAAAAAAUUUACAAUCAAAAGAGAUAAAAGAGACAAAGGGUUAGAGAAAGGAAAUAUUAUUUCCUACAUUUAACAGAUGAGAAACUGAAGCAGAGCGUGAUUAAGGCCCUGAUCCAGCAAAGUGCCAAAGCAUGUGCUUGAAGUUAAAAUGGGGCUGAUGUGCGUGCUUAAGAGCUUUGUUGAAUCAGACUGAAGGUCACACAGGAAGAUUGUAGCAGAGCUGGGAUUGAACCCAGAUCCUUUCUCCUAUUUCAGGGCCCUAAUCACAAGACUAUCCUUUAUCCUGAAAGGAGAAUGUGUUUUAUAAAAUCAUCCAAAGUGCACUUUUGCCAGGUUAUUCUCCCCACAGACACAUAAGACAGAUAAUGCUUUGUGAAGCAGAUCCUUCAGUAAGAGAGAAAAUGUGUGUGCAGUCACUUCAUUUCCUGAUCUUGACUUUAUAUUUGCAGGUGGAAGAUUACUUCAGUCAUUUGAAUUCUGCACCAACUCUGCUUUCCUAGUGGUAGAAAUAUUGAACACCGCUGAGAGAAUCAGGAUGAUUCAGAACACCAGACUGUGCCAUGUUAAAUAUACAAUAUACUUCAAUUUCAGCAACGUUUAAAGAAGAAGAGUUUCAGCCUUGCACUAAUUGAAAUCACCCUGAAGCAGUCAGAGCUUUUUGGAGAGCUAAAAUCAUAAUUGCAUUCCUAAAGGCAGCACCCUGUGUAAAAUUAAAUGUACUUGAGUAUUCUGAAAGCUUGACUAAUGCAGCAAAUGAUUGGUCCUUGAGGACUGCUGUAGAUAUUUGUCAUUCAGCAUGGAAUCAGGUCAGCAGCUAAAAUUAACUACCCACCUCUUACCUAUACAGCAUGUGGAAUCGCUGCUCUUCGUUCUGCUCAGUUUGGGGCCUCCCAAAAUGUGUUCAUUCUUACUGUGAGCCUAAAUUAUGGAUUAUCAAUUAAUACUGAUGGACACCAAUCGUUCCUAUUGUGUUGGGAAUCAGACUCUCCCUUUGACUCCAGUCUGUAUUGAUUGGUUCUCGGGCAGCCUGCCAUUACUGUUUGCUGCCUCCUACCCCAUCCCCUGUUAAUCUGCCUAAGCAAGGCCUGCAAGCCCUACAUAAAUGAUCAUUUCUCUUCAUUAGUGUGAUUCUGCCUGCAUGAAUUUGGUAACAUAUGGGAUAUUAUCAUAAAGCAGCCUAUUUCUCCUAUUCAUUUUCUCCUUUAUGAAGAUUAUGAAAUGUACUGCAAGUGUAUUGGACACAAUAAAACAGGAGAUUCUACUGUAUAGUUUAUUGCUGAUUUCAUUUAUCAAAUGCAAAUAGCCUCCCUUUCCCCAGUAACAUUGUGCUAACAUAUUAUAAAAACUGCUGACUCUCCCUCCUUCAUUUCCUCUAAUUUAUUAUGGGUUUGAUCUGUAAUGCAAGGAUGAGAUUUUAGUGAUCAACAGAACUAGCAGAUACAGUCUGAUGGAAAAACUAGAAGUACAAUAACUGUCUAGUCAACUCUAAUCAUCUCCACAAUCUGACUAUGCAUGAACCUGAAAGAUAAUCAUUUUGACAAUGGGUUAUGUAUGUUCAAAAAUGUGCUUUAUACCCCUCUCCUUUUCCCCGAUUUCCUGCCUAUUACAAGAAAGAGCAGAUAACAUGAGUCUGCUGGGACGAAGUUACUUCCUGCCUCUGCAGAAGUGUCUGCAUGUGGGCUAGAGUACAACUCCUACACAAAGGAAAAAUGUCAGCAGUCAUUCAGUAGUAAAAGUCUCAAGAACAAGAGACGAACUUCAUUUCCUGUGAAUAGAUCUGGAUCAGCUAGUGGUUUUAAGUCUGAUUCUGAGCUUAGUAUGAACAUAACACUUAACAGCAUUAUUGUUUGUAC